ACCACCUGGGUAACUUGUUAAAAUGCAGAUUCUAAUUCAGUAGUUCUGGGGUGGAGCCUGAGAUUCUGUAUUUAUACCAAGUCCCCAGGUGAUGUCAG
rnacentral:pre_miRNA from 1 species